UACGUAGGGGGCAAGCGUUGUCCGGAUUUAUUGGGCGUAAAGAGCGUGUAGGCGGCCUGAAAGGUCAGCUGUGAAAACUCGAGGCUCAACCUCGAGACGUCGGUUGAAACCAUCUGGCUAGAGUCCGGAAGAGGAGUGUGGAAUUCCCGGUGUAGCGGUGAAAUGCGCAGAUAUCAGGAGGAACACCGGUGGCGAAGGCGGUUCUCUGGGCAUUACCUGACGCUGAGGAGCGAAAGUGUGGGGAGCGAACAGG
rnacentral:rRNA from 1 species